rnacentral:tRNA from 1 species
GCGCGAGUGGUGAAAUGGCAGACACGCCAGACUUAGGAUCUGGUCCGCAAGGGUGGGGGUUCAAGUCCCCCCUCGCGCACCA